rnacentral:rRNA from 1 species
UACGAAGGGGGCUAGCGUUGCUCGGAAUCACUGGGCGUAGAGCGCACGUAGGCGGAUUUGUAAGUCAGGGGUGAAAUCCCGGGGCUCAACCUCGGAACUGCCUUUGAUACUGCAAGUCUUGAGUUAGGGAGAGGUGAGUGGAAUUCCUAGUGUAGAGGUGAAGUUCGUAGAUAUUAGGAAGAACACCAGUGGCGAAGGCGGCUCACUGGCCCGAUACUGACGCUGAGGUGCGAAAGCGUGGGUAGCAAACAGG